rnacentral:rRNA from 1 species
AUUGAACGCUGGCGGCAGGCCUAACACAUGCCAGUCGAACGGUAACAGGAAGAAGCUUGCUUCUUUGCUGACGAGUGGCGGACGGGUGAGUAAUGUCUGGGAAACUGCCUGAUGGAGGGGGAUAACUACUGGAAACGGUAGCUAAUACCGCAUAACGUCGCAAGACCGAAGAGGGGGACCUUCGGGCCUCUUGCCCUCGGAUGUGCCCAGAUGGGAUUAGCUAGUAGGUGGGGUAACGGCUCACCUAGGCGACGAUCCCUAGCUGGUCUGAGAGGAUGACCAGCCACACUGGAACUGAGACACGGUCCAGACUCCUACGGGAGGCAGCAGUGGGGAAUAUUGCACAAUGGGCGCAAGCCUGAUGCAGCCAUGCCGCGUGUAUGAAGAAGGCCUUCGGGUUGUAAAGUACUUUCAGCGGGGAGGAAGGGAGUAAAGUUAAUACCUUUGCUCAUUGACGUUACCCGCAGAAGAAGCACCGGCUAACUCCGUG